rnacentral:rRNA from 1 species
AAAGAGCCCAGCCCCCGGCUAAGGUCCCAAAGUGCGUGUAAGUGGAAAAGGAUGUGGGAAUUCGAAGACAACUAGGAUGUUGGCUCAGAAGCAGCCAUACAUUCAAAGAGUGCGUAACAGCUCACUAGUCGAGAGUUCCUGCGCCGAAAAUGUCCGGGGCUGAAACACGACACCGAAGCCGUGGACUCGCAAUGCGAGUGGUAGAGGAGCAUUCUUAAGACCGACGAAGCUGUACCGAAAGGAGCAGUGGAGGGAUAAGAAGAGAGAAUGCCGGAAUGAGUAGCGAGAGAAAGGUGGGAAUCCUUUCGGCCGAAUAUCUAAGGUUUCCAGAGUAAAGCUGAUCUGCUCUGGGUAAGUCGGGGCCUAAGCACAGGUCGCAAGACGUAAGCGAUGGAUAACAGGUUUAGAUUCCUGUACCACGCAUUAUCAGAACUGUAGGGACGCAUGUGGAAAGCACGGGCCGGGAAUGGAAAGACCGGUACAAGCGGGGUAGGAGUACAAUAGGCAAAUCCGUUGUAUGAUCCGAAGACGUGAUGUGGAGCGAAAUAAAGUAGUGAAGCGUGUGAGCCAUGUGCCGAGAAAAGCUGCUAUUGUGUAAUGCGUGCCCGUACCGUAAACCGACACAGGUGGAUGAGGAGAGAAUCCUAAGGCCGACGGAAGAAGCAUUGUUAAGGAAUUCGGCAAAAUGACCCCGUAACUUCGGGAGAAGGGGUGCCUGCGAGAGCAGGCCGCAGAGAAUAGGCUCAAGCAACUGUUUAGCAAAAACACAGGUCUAUGCGAAACCGAAAGGUGAAGUAUAUGGGCUGACGCCUGCCCGGUGCUGGAAGGUUAAGAGGAGAGGUUAGCGAAAGCGAAGCUUUGAAUUUAAGCCCCAGUAAACGGCGGCCGUAACUAUAACGGUCCUAAGGUAGCGAAAUUCCUUGUCGGGUAAGUUCCGACCCGCACGAAAGGCGUAAUGAUUUGAGCACUGUCUCGACAAUGCAUCCGGUGAAAUUGAAGUACCAGUGAAGAUGCUGGUUACCCGCGCCAGGACGGAAAGACCCCAUGGAGCUUUACUCCAGUUUGAUACUGGGAUUCGGUACUGCAUGUACAGGAUAGGUGGGAGACGAAGAAGGAUGGACGCCAGUCUGUCCGGAGUCGCUGUUGGGAUACCACCCCUGUAGUACUGGGUUUCUAACCAGUUACCAUGAUCUGGUAAUGGGACAAUGUCAGGCGGGGAGUUUGACUGGGGCGGUCGCCUCCGAAAGGGUAUCGGAGGCGCUCAAAGGUUCCCUCAGAAUGGUUGGAAACCAUUUGAAGAGUGCAAAGGCAGAAGGGAGCUUGACUGCGACACCGACGGGUGGAGCAGGUACGAAAGUAGGACUUAGUGAUCCGGUGGUAUAAAGUGGGAUUGCCAUCGCUCAACGGAUAAAAGCUACCCUGGGGAUAACAGGCUUAUCACUCCCAAGAGUUCACAUCGACGGAGUGGUUUGGCACCUCGAUGUCGGCUCAUCGCAUCCUGGGGCUGUAGCAGGUCCCAAGGGUUGGGCUGUUCGCCCAUUAAAGCGGUACGCGAGCUGGGUUCAGAACGUCGUGAGACAGUUCGGUCCCUAUCCGGCGCGGGCGGAGGAUAUUUGAGAGGAGCUGUCCUUAGUACGAGAGGACCGGGAUGGACGGACCACUGGUGUAUCUGUUGUCGACCAACGGCAUGGCAGAGUAGCCAAGUCUGGAAGGGAUAAACGCUGAAGGCAUCUAAGCGUGAAGCCCCCCUCAAGAUGAGAUAUCCCUCCUUCGGGAGUAAGACCCCUUGAAGACUACAAGGUAGAUAGGGCAGAGGUGGAAGCAUGGCAACAUGUGGAGCUGACUGUUACUAAUAGGUCGAGGGCUUAAUCU